rnacentral:lncRNA from 1 species
UUCAUAAAGGUUUGGUAGUAAUUUACACCUAGGUGCAUUUCUCACCCCUCAAAACUACAACCACACUGAGGGAGCGGUUUCAUAAAGCUCGGAGGGCAUAAAUUUCGGCAGUUGUAGUUUUCUGCUUGCUUUGAUUGCAUUUUACUACCAACAGAACUUUAAUAAAUAUUUUAAUUCUGUGAAUUAUCAAAGUAUUAACAUGAAAUGACGUAAUUAUUUUAAUUCAUCAAUAAUAAAAUUAAAUAUGAUGUUUAAAACAAUAAUCAAUAGGUAAUCAGACAAAAAUUUAUUUGCUAUUCUUGCAUUAGGAAUUGUAAACAAAAACAAUCGUCCAAGGCCAUAGAGAAACUACUGCAUUCAUUUUGGCCGGCUGAAUUUGAAUUAGGUUCAGGAUAUUGAUAUAUAUAUAAAUCCCUUUUGUACAUUGAUUGCUUGGGUGUUCAUUUGUUUCUGAUAUAUAUGUUUCAGUGUUUGAUUUAUGUUUUGAUGUGUCCAAACGAUGAGAGCGUCGCAGUGAAACAAUCAAUAAGCCGCUGCCCAAGGUUUGGCCUUGGUUGAGUUUGAGUUUCAGUUUGGUUAGAAGGCAAAGCGCCUCUCCUUAGUUCAAGUUGCAAAAACGAGUGCGACGACUGCUAGUGCUGACUACUGAAAUCUGCUGAAAGGAAGACUGGAGGGCCUUUAGCAGCAGUAGCAGUGGAACUUGGAAGGCUGCCUUGAGGCUGCCUGGCUGGCCUCUACAACAGAGACAAAGUUUAGAAGUUAUUUGUCAACAAUGUUGUCCAUAUUGCAAGAGGUGGCUGACGAGCACCAACCAGCGUGUGCAGCAGCCUUUCCGUUGUAAACGGUGCGCUGACCGCGGAGCCGGGGGUUGUCGACCGCCGGCUGGCACUCACCACCGUCCACCCCAAGCUGGCCAUCAUCGACUGGCUCGAGCACACCAGCACGCUGAACCAGUUCAUCAGCUCGACGUGCCCCGACUUCGAGCAGUAGUGCGCCGAGACGCGCGAGCUGUUCAGUGGGAGCAGAUGAAGCGACAUGGGACUCAGAGCGGCGCCACUGACGUGCAGCUGCAGCUGAUCGGAAUCGACAGGACAUGUGUUCGCGGCUCGGCCACCACUCAUCAGCCUGCUGCUCGUGCCGUUCCGUCUGACGGCGCAGAUGACCGGCCUGGCGGCGUCUCUCGACGCGUCCGGCCACACCCGGCUGCAGGCGCUGCGCUCGUCGCUUUGGGUUGUAAAUGCCGGUGAGCAGUGAGGGUUGCCUCGCUGAGUCGUGUGGGCGCUCGUCACUGUAGAGGUCGCUGUGAGCGCUGUGCUCCUCUUCGACCAGAGGAUAGGUGGCGGUAGCGGUCGGUACGCAGUCAGCAGCGUAUUGACACGUCAUAGACCGAUUGAAGGUCUUCAGUGCGUUAUGAAUAUGGCGCGGGUAGCUCGAUUCCGGCGGCGGCGUGACACGGUGACCCCGUGACCUCUAGCCGUGUCGGUCCGUGUGCGCGGCCCAUUCGCCCCCGACUUGGGUUGUCGAUGGCGGCUGCCGGCGCCCUUAAAAUCGUACGUG